CAGUCGCCGCGGUAAUACGAAGGGUGCAAGCGUCACUCGGAAUUACUGGGCGUAAAGCGUGCGUAGGUGGUGGUUUAAGUCCGUUGUGAAAGCCCUGGGCUCAACCUGGGAAUUGCAGUGGAUACUGGGUCACUAGAGUGUGGUAGAGGAUAGUGGAAUUUCCGGUGUAGCAGUGUAAUGCGUAGAGAUCGGAAGGAACAUCUGUGGCGAAGGCGACUAUCUGGGCCAACACUGACACUGAGGCACGAAAGCGUGGGGAGCAAACAGGAUUAGAUACCCCCGUAGUCCCUGUCUCUUAUAC
rnacentral:rRNA from 1 species